AUCCAACUGAUGAGUCCCAAAUAAGACGAAACGCGCUUCAAACUGGAU
rnacentral:hammerhead_ribozyme from 1 species